rnacentral:lncRNA from 1 species
AAAAUAGCAGAAAAUAGUGCAAAUGGAUAGCUCAGAAAGCCGUCAGGCUCUACCUCUUGCCAUAAGGCAGGAUCUGCUAUAUCUUAGUUACUUGAUGACUUAAUCACUUCUGGCAUGGAUAUGGACACGGGCAUGCGCUAAGCAAGCCAUGCUGAAAAGCACCUUCGUGUAAAGAAACCCUGCUCCGUGCAGAGAAGGAGACAGCAGCAAUAUAGAUGUGCAUAAGCAUGAAUGCCAGUAGAAGAAAACUUUGCAUUUAAGGAUCUGACUCAGAAAUUGGUGUAUGUAUCCCAUCAUCACCGUUGCUACAUUUGAAGGUUAAAUUUUGUGCACGAGGCGGGUCUGCCUGCUCCUCCCUGCACCCCAGGCAUCUCGGUCGUUAAAGCCACCGGAGCGCUCGGGCUCUUUCCAUCUAGCUCACACUCUGUACGUGUUCCCAGUUACGAAUCAUGUUUUCAUUUCUGAAAUACAAUCUUGCCUACCAAAUGAUAAUCAACUCACCACAAUAACUUUAUUUGUGAAUGGUUUGUUCAUUAAGAUACCGAGUUCCAUAAGAUACUAGUUGUACUAAUUAAGAAUGUAUGAUGAAUCUCUCUGUGUCUGUGCAUCGUCUCUGAGGCCUCCUAGCUUUUGCACUGCUGAUUAACCUUAACUGAAUUUGACAGAGCAGUACAUAUCCUGAAGACCUUAGGUACCCAAGUGGAGGACAGACAGCCCCAGCUCAGCGCCCCGCUGAAAGAAAAGGCUGUAUUUACAGGCAGCGCUGCAGAGAGGCUCCAGGCACCACAGCCUGCAGAGAGCACAAAGCCCUCGAGCGCCUAUCGGGAUGGCGCAGCGUCUGCUCUCCGUCCGCACAGCAUCGCUGCCUCCAGAAACUGGAACCCGUGAAGUUUUCCAUAGCGAGCAGUGGAACAAGUUAGCCCUGGAAUGAGGAGCAGAGCGGAUCAUUCGUGCGUCAGCAAAUGUUUGUGCUACAGAAACAAGCAUCUGCCCUCUGCAUCGCUGGGAGCCUGUUCCUAGACAAAAUUCACAGCCCUUCAUUAAAUAACGUAUAAUAAAGUGUAACAUAGUGUUCCUAUAAUGCAGUAGCAGGUAUGUGCAGUACUUAAACCUAGAUGUGUCCUGUGGUAAGCUGGCAAAUCACAGAGAAGUGUGAAAACUUCAGCUAAGUCUCUGGUUCCCCUGUGUGUGCCAAAAAGGGGUUUCACCCUUCUCUGUGGAUUUUGCUAGUGGUCCAGCCCGCAGUUUACCACGCUGUAAUGUCUGCGGUGAGUGGGGUCCUGCACAGGGGUAUCUUAUAUCUCUUAAUAUGGAAAUUCAGGAAGAAAAAAAUAGGAAACAUUAAACUUGGAGUAUGCUUGUGAUUUAUCUGGAAUGCUGGG